rnacentral:rRNA from 1 species
UACAGAGGUGGCAAGCGUUGUUCGGAAUUACUGGGCGUAAAGGGCGCGUAGGCGGUUCGUUAAGUCCUGUGUGAAAUCCCCCGGCUCAACUGGGGAACUGCACAGGAAACUAGCGGGCUUGAGUUCGGGAGAGGGAAGCGGAAUUCCGGGUGUAGCGGUGAAAUGCGUAGACAUCCGGAGGAACACCGGUGGCGAAGGCGGCUUCCCGGACCGACACUGACGCUGAGGCGCGAAAGCUAGGGGAGCAAACGGG